AUGGUUGUCGACAGCUUUCUCCUUAUCCCCAGCCUCCUGCUCCUGGUGGCGGGGGUGUCUCUGCUCACCACUGCCUGGUGCCGACAGGGUCAUGACCAGCACCGACAGCAGUGGAGAUGGUGGCAGCGAGUGGUAGCACUGAAGCCAGAUGCUGAGAGUCAAGCUGGCAGGCACAGAAGCCCCCUGUGUGGGCCACAUUGCUCCCAGAAACAAGCUUCACGAUGGCAGGGCAGUCUCAUCCUGCCCCAUCUCAUCCAGCCAGGAAAGACCUGGCCUUUGUUGCUGCGCAGUCUAUGCCCCUCUCUUCACACGGACUCUGCCACUGGUACCACGAGCUCUGCAGGGAAGCCCAGCAGGCUUCCCAGACAGGACCAGUGCCUGCAAGUUCUGGCAACACGCGGGACCCCCAGGCCACACAGUCAGCGUUCAAGGCUAGGCAGUGGAGUUAAAGACCUGCCACCUGAGAUCUCCAGCUGCGCAAAGCCACCAGUGAAAGGGAUGAUCUUUCAAGAGGGCAUCGUUCAAACAGAGGAGAGAAAACGCUGGUGGAACUACAAGACCAAGAGGCCUUUCUGGCCUGUGCUGCCCCGAGCACUUCCCAAAGUACACAAGAAAGCAGGAGCAGCAGCAAGACCAUCACAAGGACCAGCUUUGAGCCUGGAGAAAAAAGCAGACAGCAGAACUGAAACCUGCCAGCCCUUGAACUCUAGCUUCAGUGACAAAAGAAGCACAGAGAAAUCAGACAGGCUAGCUAUGGAAAGACUGCACCGGCAGCUCCUGGUGGCCCUAAAACGGCCCAAGACUAGGAACGAUUGCUAUGAGUCAGGCAGUGGAACUGAAAAGCAACCUCCUGUAACCUCUUUCUGCACACAGCCACCAGUGAAAGGUAUGAUCAUGCAUGAGAACAGCCUUCCAACAGAGGAGGGGAAAUGCUGGUGGAACAGGAAGGACAAGAGGCCUUCUGAGUUCUGUAUAGCCUCCCCAGCACUUCCCAGAGUCCACAGGGAAGCUGGAACAGCUGCGGGACCAACAGGACCAGCUGCACGCCUGGAGAAAAGCAAUGCCAAGAGGCUUUUUGAGUAUUAUGCAGACUACCCAGCAGUUCCCAGAGUCCACAAGAAAGCUGGAGCAGCUGCAGGACCAACACCAGGACCAGCUUCAAGCCUGGACAAAAGCAAGGCCA
rnacentral:lncRNA from 1 species